GGGGGUAAAAGCUCGUCUNCCAGAGGUUCNACCAAAACUNUAACUUAAAANCNCGAUUUNUNAAAUUGUCAUUUUNGAAAUUUGUCUGAUUAACUUCGGAUGAAACAAAUAUUCAAAACUUUCAACAACGGAUCUCUUGGUUCUCGCAUCGAUGAAGAACGCAGCGAAUUGCGAUAAGUAUUGUGAAUUGCAGAAUUUCGUGAAUCAUCGAAUCUUUGAACGCACAUUGCACCCUGUGGUAUUCCACAGGGUAUGCCUGUUUGAGCGUCAUUUCUCUCUCAAAACGCAAGUUUUGGUGUUGAGUGAUACUCGGGUUAAAUGGCUUGAGUUUGCUUGAAAAGUAUUGGCAAGGGAAGUGAGACUUCACUACAGCUGUUUAUUCAAUGUAUUAGGUUUAUCCAACUCGUUGAUUGACAGGUGGAAUGAGAUUUUGCUAAUAGGCCCGGCCUUACAACAAACAAACCAAAGUUGACCCUCAAUCAGGAGGUCCA
rnacentral:rRNA from 1 species